rnacentral:rRNA from 1 species
UCGAGUUUUGAACGGGUUGUCUGCGUGGCUCGCAAGGGCAUGUGCACGCCUGUCUCAUCCACUCUCAACUUCUGUGCACUUUUCAUAGGCCGGCUUGUGGGUGCGUUCGCGCACUUGUAGGUGUCGGGCUUAUGCUUUAUUACAAACGAUUCAGUUUUAGAAUGUCAUACUUUGCUAUAACGCAAUUUAUAUACAACUUUCAGCAACGGAUCUCUUGGCUCUCGCAUCGAUGAAGAACGCAGCGAAAUGCGAUAAGUAAUGUGAAUUGCAGAAUUCAGUGAAUCAUCGAAUCUUUGAACGCACCUUGCGCUCCUUGGUAUUCCGAGGAGCAUGCCUGUUUGAGUCUCAUGGAAUUCUCAACCUUCAGCUUUAUUGAUGAAGGCUUGGACUUGGAGGUCGUGCCGGCUCUCGUAGUCGGCUCCUCUGAAAUGCAUUAGUGCGAACGUUACCAGCCGCUUCAGCGUGAUAAUUAUCUGCGUUGCUGUGGAGGGUAUUCUAGUGUUCACGCUUCUAACCGUCUUCGGACAAAUUUCUGAACUCUGAGCUCAAAUCAGGUAGGACUACCCGCUGAACUUAAGCAUAUCAAUUAAGCCG